GUGAAGUUGUUCACAUAUAAACAUAUACCCCCUUUGUUUAACGUGAAAAAUUUCCCCAUCCCCUUUGUUCGUAAGAAUGAAAAAGCCUUGCAAUUAGUUAAUUUGCAAGGCUUUU
rnacentral:sRNA from 1 species